rnacentral:lncRNA from 1 species
UAAAAUAUUCAUUAUAUUAAAAAGAACGUUAAGUAGUGUAAAAUCACAAUACCAAAUGUGUUAAAAUCUCAAAGAACUACUACUUAACAAGAUUAAAGGAAAACUUAAGUCAAUCCUAACAAUAAUGACUAAUGGCCGCACACAUGAUACGCAUUGUUACUCCCGUUUGAACAUCUUCAAGUGCCGUCCACUUCUUGAAUCAAAUACCUGCAAGAAAUACGUUGCUAAAUAAGUACCAUUUGCUCGGGGCAAUUUACACUUUUAUCUUUUGCUUUUUUCUGCAGUAAGACUGGAAUGAAAAUGUCAUCACUAUCGCAGUUAACAUGAACAAAAAUAAGGUGGUCAAGUAGAGAAAUCUAAUAAAACCUUUCCUUUGGUAAUGAUCCAACAUUCAAUCCUCUUGUUAUGCAGCGCAACUCCAGCUUUGCUAUAUGUUUUGAAUGUCUUUAGUUCAAAAAGAACAUAUCCCAAACGAAAGAAAAAAGAAAAGGAUACAGCAGAAUGAGAGAAAAAUUGAAAAUUGAAAGACACGAAGAUAUUAUACAAGUGUUGGUGCACAAACAAUAUGCACGUAAAGAAGAUUAUCAGUUCAGCAAGUGAUGAAUCUUUGUAACUGCCUAGCAAAUACUAGGAUAGCGCGAAACAACAAUGAAUAAUUGUUUCAUACACCGCCACACAAUUUGUUGUUCUCCGUCCUUUCACCAUUUCCUUAAACACAUUCCCUCCUUACUUCACAAACUCACAAACACCGCAAUCCACUGACUUCACUUCUCGUCCAUGGCUUUAGAAGUAGAAGGGUGUCGAACAGAGCUCAAUCUUUUAUGUGACAAACUUAGAAAACAUUAUCUUGUUAUUGUAGUAUAUAUAUAUAUAUAGUGACAUGCAUUACAAGGAUGGUUAUGGAUCUGCAUCUUCAAGCCUACAAAGUUUACCAUCUGGCCAUUGCAAUGAAACUUUCACACAAGAUGCAUUCCACUUAUUAUACAAACAAAAAUUGAGGGAAACUCCCCUGUUCUACCCCCUAUGUGCUGCUUGAUAUUCUUUAUCAGGCACCCAAAAUAAAAUACCCCCAAGGACAUAAUCGUCAUUAACACUUCAUAUUCUAAUAAACUAAGCUUAAAGAAACUAAACAUCACUUAUUGCCUUUCUUCUGAUUACCAGGAACCAUUUCCUUGUUUUUCAGACAUUUUGUUUUUCACAAAAUACUGGUUUUGGAUAUUCUAUCACUGGAUUAUCUACUUUCUACUUGCAAUCCUUCCUAAAACAACAACAACAACGGCCCAGUAUAAUCUCACAAGUGGGGUAUGGGGAGGAUAAUAUGUACGCAGACCUUACCCCUACCCCUAGGAGCAGAGAGGCUACUUCCAAGAGACCUUCGGCUCAAGAAAGCAACAAGAGACGAUAUAUUAGUACCAUCAAUAGACUCAUAAUAAAAUAACAACAAUAUAAGAGAUACAAAAUACGAAAUACGGAAUACGAAAUACGAAAUAGAUGGAUGGUAUAGUAAAAACUAGCAGAUAAAGCUCUGCAUCACUAGAUGACCAAUAGCAUCCUCAGACUAACUCCUAACUGGCUAGUCUCACUCUAUUGUGCUGUAGAAAUAUUCACAACUUUCCCCUAACCUACAACCUUAAUGCUCGACCUCCACAAUUCCCUGUUAAGGGCCAUGUCCUCAGUAAUCAUAAGUCGCGUCAUGUCUUAUCUGAUCACCUCUCUCCAAUACUUCUUAGGUUGCCCUCUACCUCUCCUCGUGCCCACCACAUCCAGUGGCUCACACCUCCUCACCGGUGCGUCAGUGCUCCUCCUCUGAAUGUGCCCAAACCAUCUGAGUCUUGUUUCCCGCAUCUUGUCCUCCAUGGGGGCCACGUCCACCUUCUCUCAAAUAUCUUCAUUCCUAAUCUUAUCUAUCCUUGUAUGCCCGCACAUCCACCUCAACAUCCUCAUCUCUGCUACUUUUAUCUUCUGGAUGUGUGAGUUUUUAACCGGCCAACACUCAGUCCCAUACAACAUGGCAGGCCUAACCAGUGCUCUAUAAAACUUACCUUUUAGUAAGGUGGCACUUUCUUGUCACACAGGACUCCCGAUGCUAACCUCCACUUCAUCCACCCCACCUUUAUACGGUGUGUGACAUCCUCGUCGAUCUCCUCGAUCCCCUGAAUAACCGAUCCAAGGUACUUGAAACUACCCCUCUUGGGAAUGACUUGAGUCAAGCCUCACUUCCACUCCUGCGUCCGUCUGCUCUACCCCAAAUUUGCACUCGAGGUAUUCCGUCUUUGUCCUGCUCAACUUGAAACCUUUAGACUUAAGAGCAUGUCUCCAAACCUCUAGCCUCUCGUUGACGCCGCCUCGUGUCUCGUCAAUUAGAAUAAUGUCAUCAGCAAAUAGCAUGCACCAUGGCACCUUCCCUUGAAUAAAACCAAAAGGGAAUUAACCUAAAGACCAUUUCCGGAUAAACCUUUAAAGCUAAUAAUAAAGAAAGUCUAUCCAUUCCUGAGGAAGGCGUACUUCAAGGUUCAUUGUUCCUUCUUGUUGUAGAUUUCUCCUCUGUUGUGCAAGCAAUGCAUUUCUCCUAGCCAUUAAUAUUUUUGCACAACAAUAUCAUUGCCUGAGCUUGAAAGAAAAAGAAAAAGUUCUAUCGAAAAAGAACAAGUGAAAAGUUUGAUUACCACAGAGGUUUUGAGUUACUGCAAUCUUCAAUAAAGCAAAGAAACUCAACGAUAAUAAAAACGGCAAACAAAAAGAGAGAUAGCAAUGACUUGAGCUAGUUGAGAGAAAGGUAGGUACCUUAUGAUAAUUGUCACACACUCAAUAGUUUUGAGGAAUCGAAUAAAUUCUCGUGUUGAUUUGUUGAAGUUCUUCAGUCUCUGAACCAUGAUUCAUAUAGUUUAAGUUAGUGAUUAAUAUACACUCUCAAUAGGAAAAACAUAAAUUCCUUUUACAGUUUCUUCAAGGUCACUAAAGAUCACUGGAAAUUAUAAUCGGACCAGUCGCACUCUAAAGCCAGGUAUACCUCACUUGAUUUAAUAGCUAGCCAAUAUAUAUACCACUUCUUGCACAUCCAGAAUAGGUGUGCUUGUGUCAAUGUACAUUUUCGCUGAGUUUAUCUUUUACAUGGACUUCCAAAAUCAGCAUUAGAAGACUAUAUUGAUGUGAUUAUUUAUAAGAUACUAUUCCACCAAAGACAUGUUUGCCUUUCUAUCAACUAAAAGAUCCUGCUGUAUAAAAAAAUAGAGAUCUCUGAUUGCUUCUACUAGUUUUAGUUUUAUAUCUAAAUGGGGAGAGUAAGCUAGGAGAUCUAAUAAGAAAAAAAUAGGAUUACCUUAACUAUCCGAAUGGUGUAUGCCUCUGUAUAACCUGUAGAUAAGUAAACAAAAUGAAUGAAGUGGCCUUAAGACAAGGAGAAAGUAAUACAUCCUAGGAAUACCAACUCAUGGAAACGAUCCAAAUCAAUGGAAGAAACACUAAUUUUGGAUAUUUGGAAAAACAAAACUCUACCACUAUGUAUUUCAGAAGUUUUGACCUGCAAAGGCAGGAUAUUGAUAUCCAACAAUGUCACCAAAUCCUUUGCUCUUUUAGAUAUAGGAAUACCAUCUCCUGUUGAAUAUAAAGUACCACAUUAAACCCCUUUGUUUUGAUAAACAAUAGGCUCUCAAAAUGCAGAACAAUAGAUUACAAUAGGUUUGUUGUAUUGACAGAGCAACGCAAACAAACAAUAAAACCCUAGAUCCACGUCAAUAUAUAAUCAAUACAGAGCAGAAAGGAGAUAAAAAUAGAGAUGACUUGGCUGAGCUUUAUUUGGAGUUAGGAGUUUGAAUUGCUGAAGGCGUGACCAUGACCGUGGCGGAGUUCAGCAAAAUCUAUGGGAGCUUCAUCGUAGACCACAGAUUCGCCAUUUCUUCCCAAUCAAAGGUUCUACUGGCCUCAAAUGUUAUGACGUAUGAAAAUUCUGAAAUAAAAAUAGCGGCGUUUUAAACCGCCAUUUAUUAUGCUAAAAUCGCCGCUUUAUGGAUGCAUCAUUGGCGGCUUAAAAUUUGCCAUAGUGCUAUAAUGGCGGUUUUGAUAACCGCCACUUUAAUAAUGC